UACGUAGGGUGCAAGCGUUGUCCGGAAUUAUUGGGCGUAAAGAGCUCGUAGGCGGUCUGUUGCGUCGGCUGUGAAAACCCGGGGCUCAACUCCGGGCCUGCAGCCGAUACGGGCGGACUUGAGUGUUGCAGGGGAGACUGGAAUUCCUGGUGUAGCGGUGAAAUGCGCAGAUAUCAGGAGGAACACCGGUGGCGAAGGCGGGUCUCUGGGCAACUACUGACGCUGAGGAGCGAAAGCGUGGGGAGCGAACAGG
rnacentral:rRNA from 1 species